rnacentral:rRNA from 1 species
AGAGUUUGAUUCUGGUUUAGAUUGAACGCUGGCGGCAUGCCUAACACAUGCAAGUCGAACGGUAACGCGGAGAGCUUGCUCUCUGGCGACGAGUGGCGGACGGGUGAGUAAUGCAUAGGAAUCUGCCUUUUAGUGGGGGACAACAUGUGGAAACGCAUGUUAAUACUGCAUACGCCCUACGGGGGAAAGCGGGGGUCUUCGGACCUCGUGCUAAGAGAUGAGCCUAUGUCAGAUUAGCUAGUUGGUAGGGUAAAGGUUUACCAAGGUGAUGAUCUGUAGCUGGUUUGAGAGAAUGAUCAGCCACACUGGGACUGAGAUAUGGCCCAGACUCCUACGGGAGGCAGCAGUGGGGAAUAUUGCAUAAUGGGCGUAAGCCUGAUGCAGCAAUGCCGCGUGUGUGAAGAAGGCCUGCGGGUUGUAAAGCACUUUCAGUGGGGAGGAAGGCCUGACGGUUAAUAUUUGUCAGGAUUGACGUUACCCACAGAAGAAGCACCGGUUAACUCCGUGUUAGCAGCCGCGGUAAUACGGAGGGUGCAAGCGUUAAUCGGAAUUAUUGGGCGUAAAGCGCGCGUAGGCGGCAAAGUCAGUCGGAUGUGAAAGUCCCGGGUUUAAUUUGGGAAUUGCAUUCGAUACUGCUUAGCUAGAGUCUGAUAGAGGGGAGUGGAAUUUUGGGUGUAGUGGUGAAAUGUGUAGAUAUUUGGAGGAAUAUUAGUGGUGAAGGUGACUCCCUGGAUCAAGACUGACGCUGAGGUGCGAAAGUGUGGGUAGUAAAUAGGAUUAGAUAUUUUGGUAGUUUAUGUUGUAAACGAUGUCAACUAGACGUUGGGAGAUUUGAUCUCUUAGUGUCGGAGCUAAUGCGAUAAGUUGACCGCCUGGGGAGUACGGUUGUAAGAUUAAAACUCAAAGGAAUUGACGGGGGCCUGUAUAAGCGGUGGAGCAUGUGGUUUAAUUCGAUGCAAUGUGAAGAAUUUUACCUACCCUUGACAUUGAUAGAAUUUAGUAGAGAUGUAGGAGUGUUUUUGGGUUUGGAAAAUAGGUGUUGUAUGGCUGCCGUCAGCUCGUGUUGUGAGAUGUUGGGUUAAGUUUUGUAACGAGCGCAACCCUUGUCCCUAGUUGUUAGCACAUAAUGGUGGGAACUCUAGGGAGACUGCCGGUGAUAAACCGGAGGAAGGUGGGGAUGACGUCAAGUCAUCAUGGCUCUUAUGGGUAGGGCUACACACGUGCUACAAUGGCCGGUACAGAGGGUCGCGACCC